rnacentral:rRNA from 1 species
GAUGAACGCUGGCGGCGUGCCUAAUACAUGCAAGUCGAGCGAACGGACGAGAAGCUCUCUUCUCUGCUGUUAGCGGCGGACGGGUGAGUAACACGUGGAUAACCUUCCUAUAAGACUGGGAUAACUUCGGGAAACCGUAUCUAAUACCGGAUCAUAUUUUGAACCGCAUGGUUCAAAAGUGCAAGACGGUCUUGCUGUCACUUUUAGCUGUAUCCGCGCUGCAUUAGUUAGUUGGUAAGGUAACGGCUUACCAAGGCAACGAUGCAUAGUGGACCUGAUAGGGGAACCGGCCACACUGAAACGAAGACAGGGUCAAGAUCCCUAGGGAAGGAAGAAGUAGGAAAAUUUGCGAAAGGGGGGAAGCCUGAACGGAGCAACGCGGGGGGAGGAAGGAGGGUCUUGGGAUGGUAAAACCCUGUUAUGAGGGAAGAACAUAUGAGGAAGUACUGUGGACAUCUUGACGGUACCUAAACAGAAAGCCACGGCUAACUACGUG